GAGAGUAAAACAGUACGUGAAAUUGUUGAAAGGGAAACGCUUGAAGUCAGUCGUGCCGGCGUUGGAUUCAGCUUGCUUCGCGGAGCAGGCGUAUUUCCGCGCAUGGCAGGUCAGCGUCAGUUUUGCGCGGCGUGAAAAGGCUCGGGUAAGGUAGCUCUCUUCGGGGAGUGUUAUAGACCUGGGCAGAUGCGCUGCACGGGACUGAGGAUUGCAGCGGACACCUCUUCGGGGGCGCGGCGACCGAACCCUGCUCGGCCACCCUCGUUCGAUAGCGUGCUAGCGGACGCGGGAGCGGCAGUGCACCGGAACAGGCAAGCCAGCGGUUCGCUAAGGAUGCUGACGUAAUGGCUUUAAACGA
rnacentral:rRNA from 1 species